rnacentral:rRNA from 1 species
GAUGAACGCUAGCUACAGGCUUAACACAUGCAAGUCGCGGGGCAGCAUGGGGGUUGCUUGCAAUCCCCGAUGGCGACCGGCGCACGGGUGAGUAACGCGUAUCCAACCUGCCCUUCACCACGGGAUAACCCGGCGAAAGUCGGACUAAUACCGUAUGUUGUCCAUUGACGGCAUCCGAUUUGGACGAAAGGUUUGGCGGUGAAGGAUGGGGAUGCGUCCGAUUAGCUGGACGGCGGGGUGACGGCCCACCGUGGCGACGAUCGGUAGGGGUUCUGAGAGGAAGGUCCCCCACACUGGAACUGAGACACGGUCCAGACUCCUACGGGAGGCAGCAGUGAGGAAUAUUGGUCAAUGGGCGUAAGCCUGAACCAGCCAAGUAGCGUGCAGGAGGACGGCCCUAUGGGUGGUAAACUGCUUUUAGGCGGGGAUAAGGUGGCCCACGUGUGGGUUUUUGCAGGUACCGCAUGAAUAAGGACCGGCUAAUUCCGUG